GGGGGAUCCCGGGAUGUCUGACCUGCUGUCUCUGAUGUCAGGCCAGCUGGGGGAGGGGAUGCAGCUGGAGACAGCAGAGAAUGGGGUCCUUGUGCCACUGUCAUCAGGCCCGGAGCUUCCAUGAACACGGCUUUGUCUGCACCCAUACCCCGUGGUGACCACGGGACCAGGGGAUCAGUGGGCCUCUGAACAAGAGGGGCGUGCAGAGCGGCUUUUUGGCCUCAGUUAACUCUUAAAUGGGUGUCAGAGGCACUGUCUUCCCCUAGCUAUGCACCUCGUGCCUGGGAGCCUUAGGGCCACACGGAAGGGUAGAAAUCAGUUUCAGAGAUUCCUGCUCCCAGCCCAGGCCCAGACGGCAACAGAAGCUCAUGGUGAGUUCACCCCGGUCCUGGUCUGGCACCUCAUUGCUGGGGAGGUCUCGGUAGUCCAGAGGAGGUAGCCCCCACCCUGGGCAUCC
rnacentral:lncRNA from 1 species